AAAACAAAAAAAAAAUGGUGAAGUUCUAUUGUAUUGAUAAUUUUCUGUGCUACUUUUUUCCUACCUACUUUGUUAGAAUUUGUAACUUACAAGUUCAUCGAUUCGAGCCCUACUUCACCAUUUUGCGUCGAUAUUCUACUGGUAAAACUUCCAGAACCAUUAUGUGUUUUGGAUAGAGCCAAAAUGAUAAAAAGUUUGUGGAUAAUGUGUUAGAUGUUGAUCGACUUUGUGUGUAACUCAUACUCAUACUAAGAGAUGCAAGCAACAAUAAGAUGCAAGCAACAAUAACAAGUCUCCCGAUGAAUGUUCCAGUCCGAGAGUUGGAAACAAUGCGUCUGUAUAAGUUGUGGAAUAUCUUUGGGAAGGCAUACAAGAAGACAAAAUCACAGGCCAUAAGCUUAUGGAAAGAAAUGAAGAGUGACAUUAUAUAGAAAAACAAAAAUAUCUCCGAGACAGAUUCCUGAUGGAUGCUCAUGUAUGCGUUGUUUGCAGGAUGAGCUCACCUCAAAAGUAUUAAUAUUAUCUAGUGAACAUAAGAGCUGUGUUAAGUGUGCCGUUCCAUUGCAUUGUAUGUAGUUAGUAGCUAUUUAUGUUCAUAAAUGUUGUUAAACUAUGUGCUAUUAAAAAAUCACUUUAUAAUUUAUAUUAUAAUUUAUAUUAUCAUAUCAUUGGCCCCGAUUCCUGUAGACACCGCCUAAUUUUAUUUUAAGUUAUAUCCGUCAGUUUCAUAUCCGUCGAAAAGGAAAGGGACGGAUGAUUCACAGCUCUUAAUUUUAGGAAGAAUGAGUAAAUGAAUGAAUAACCCGGGCGAAUCAAAAAGGUACGUCACUGGUAUGCAAUCCGUUUGACAUGCUGUCUACUAACUGUGUCGGGUUAUUGACUGAUGUAAAAUUUUUAGACGGUUGUUUUAGAUUUGUGCUUAAAAUUGACGUGUGUUCCAUAAAUUUUAUGCUUGUCGAUUACCCGUCCCUUUCCUUUU